GUGGACGAUAGGCAAGAGAAGACAGAGGAGUGGACCUGACAAGCAUAAGAUUCAUUCAAUAGCCAAGCAGGAGAGUAUGCACCACUCCGAAGUACUAAUAACUAAGUUGAAAAGAGAGCGGGGCAGGCCAUAGACGAAAGUGAACUAUAGACUACUUACCAAAGACCAUAGGCAAUGGACGAAAGACCAGCAGAAGGGCAUUAGUCGCCGAGGAAGCUAGUGCGCGUAGAUCAAAGCUUAGUGGAGAGACCAUACAUAGGAAAGUUACAAGGACAGGUUAUCAACAGGGGUCGAUGGCAGGUUCGAUUACGGAGAACCUAUCCUCUUAAUCUUUUGAGUAGAUAUUAUAUAUAGGAUAAUAAGUCCACUGUGGUGCCCAAGACAAGGCAAGAUGAAUAGAAAUGUUGAAGGGAUAUAAGG
rnacentral:lncRNA from 1 species